rnacentral:sRNA from 1 species
UGAGCCCAUCCGGCAGCCUUCCUUGGCAGGGACGGAAGGGGUGAUCUAGAAGGGGUGAUCCCUCCAUGAAGCAUGGAAGGGAACAGGGCCAGGUCUGUGUCUGGCGCUCACCCCAUCCCUCCACUCCCUGGCUUCCUCUGGCCUGGGGAGUUUUGUUUUUCACCCUCCAGAUGGGGAGGACAUGGGCCACACCCUGGCCUGUCUCUCAGGCUUGUGUGGGUGGAGGCUGGGAAGGGAGUUGGACUAAACUUCGCUGUUGCCCGAGGCCAUGGCCACUUCCCGGCAGGUUGCCAGCGUCGCUACAGCCCAGACCAAGGCAGAAUAAUCUCCGGAUGAGCUGGUGGCACCGCUGAGCCUUUGGUCUCACCAGGGCUUCCUGUUGCUGGCAGGCGGGGUGGAGCGGGGCUGCUGGGAGGCUGCUGGAUAGGAGAGGGGUCACGGCUGCGGAAGAGGAGGUUCUUCAGGACGCUCGUGGAUGGACACGGCAAGGAAACACCAGGCCAACCACAGCUGGGGAUAAAAUAGCACAACCACACCCUGCCGUCCAGCGCCUCCCAUCCUGUGCCCCUUCCUAGUACCACCAGCAACCAUCAAUCCCGUCUCCUCCUGCCUCCUCUCCUGCAAUCCACCCCGCCACGACUAUCGCCAUGGCAGCCCUGAUCGCAGAGAACUUCCGCUUCCUGUCACUUUUCUUCAAGAGCAAGGAUGUGAUGAUUUUCAACGGCCUGGUGGCACUGGGCACGGUGGGCAGCCAGGAGCUGUUCUCUGUGGUGGCCUUCCACUGCCCCUGCUCGCCGGCCCGGAACUACCUGUACGGGCUGGCAGCCAUCGGCGUGCCCGCCCUGGUGCUCUUCAUCAUUGGCAUCAUCCUCAACAACCACACCUGGAACCUCGUGGCCGAGUGCCAGCACCGGAGGACCAAGAACUGCUCCGCCGCCCCCACCUUCCUCCUUCUAAGCUCCAU